AGUUGAACAGCUGAAGACCUGGUUGAUGGUCACGUGAUCUGUGAUCAGAGUUGCCAGGUUCGCGGUUUUAUGAAGAGGAGAUAAGAGAGGUCAGGAGGGGCAACAAAAAUAAGUAACUAAAAGUUAAGCUUCUAAAGGGUGGAUUUUAGACUGACUCUGGGCUGGAUAUUUUUAUUGGACUUGGCAACCCUGUCUGUGAUAUCGGGAAGGUAACGUUAACGAAGAUUUACCUGGUUGUAGAUGAUCAGACCUGUACACAUCACACUGUCAGAGAAGAGGAUUGUGAUGAAAUUUCGGAUCACAGUAAUCUGUGACAGUGAAUGCUGGUGUCAGACAGAUCUUCCAGACACAUCUUCCUCAAAUCCUCACUCGCCCCCAGAGGAAGAGGAAGAAAGGUUUCAGGCGAUUUUUCGUCCAAGAGGAUCGUCCGUCUCCGAAGCUAAAGCUCGAUAUCGCUGUGUCGGCUGUGUCUGAUUCACACAUCAACAACGGCAAGGUAUGAUUGACAGCUGAAAGAAGGAGGCGGAUCUCUGGAGAGCCAGUCAGAUGCGAGAGUGCUAAAGGCGAGUGAGGGCGGACUGUCAUGUCAGAGUGAGUGUGUGUUGUGAAGGAAUAUGAAAGAGUAUGCCUUUUAACAUGAAAAGACAUGGUAUGAUGUGUGUGUGUAUGUGUGUGUGAGAGUGUGUGUUCCUUUGUGUUAAAUGGUUUUCUGUGGGCCUUCAUAAGAACAGACAGCAUGAGUGUGUGUGUUUUUCUGAUGUUUUUUUGUGGGCUUGAAUAUGUGUGUGCUAUGGACCCCCCCACUGGUCCAUGAUGUGUGUUGAGAUGAGGAGGAUUGAAGAGCUAUGAAGAUGUUCCAGUGACUGUGCUGUAUUGUGCAAAAAUACCAAGUGAAAAAUAAACCAGCGUGUUUUAACA
rnacentral:lncRNA from 1 species